UCUGGCCAGGGAGAAAGAUUGGUCAGCUACAUCCAACAGCAGAAGUUACUCUGCCACUGUCCCAGACUUUUGAGCUCAUUUAGCACCUCCUGACAUAUAGCCCUAGCACCAUCCCAGUUUUCAAUAUAAAUACAACCUCAAUGCCUGUGCAUGGAGAGGGAACUUGGUGUUUCAUUCUCAGAACAAAGUCACAUGGACACAUUUAAACAGCUUUGAUGUGAGACUUACUGGACAAUGCUUCAACUCACAGGACACCCUUUUCUUUGGGAUACCUUGUGUACUGGAAAUGCUAAUUCAGGGUCAGAACCAGUGACUGAGCACCUGGUGGGAAGGCAGAGCCAACCCAAUGGAGCUCAGGUGCAAGCAAUACAGCUGAGUAACUGGAAGGGGUGGAGCCAUCAUCCACCCCUUCCCAGACCUCAUUUAAGGGUUGGCAGUGGAGGUGAGGACAUCUCUCUGAAGAUCUCUAUGUACCUGAGGCCUUCUAAAGGCAGGAAAGAAGCAUUGGAACUGCUCGAUGCCCACUGUGAGCUUUCAGCUCUCUCAUGCAGCAACCACAUCCUGAGCCCAAAGGUGAACGCAGACUUCUGUAGCCAAACCCAAGGAAAGUGGUGGCUUUUUCAAUGAAGCUGGCUCUAACCCACAGGCUGCAAGGCCCGGGGCCCACACUGAGGCAGGCACCAUUUUCUGUUGCCCCUCCAGCAGGCUUACCAGCAACAGAACCACACUCAGCAUUCACACCCGUCAGAUGCUGCUUUCAGAAGAACACUGAAUUAUUCCAGCUUCUACAGGACUCAGCCUCUGCUCUAGGGCUCUAGCAUCAAGCAAGUAUUUAUGUGAGAAGCCAGGAUUAUGUCUAGAGGCAUCCCUGAUGUGAAACCCACAGCACAGCAGGUUCUGAAAGGCCUUAUUUAUCAGGGCUGAAUUGUCAACUUUCAAGUUACAGAGCCACGAAUGCUCCUUCUUGGAAGACAGAGGAGAGGAAGGGAGAGCAGGCAAAGCCUGGGGUUAGCAGUCUGCUCAGCUCAAACACCUCAGCCCGGAGCUGCAAUACAGUUACCUCCAUUUUAGCAUUUGUCCAUCGAGGUACUUCCACAACCAUGUUGAACACGUU